UGUAAUGAUAAAUCCUGCUUUUUCCUCUUUCUUUUUUUUUUUUAAUGAAAAUCAAUAUUUUGCAAAAGCCGCACAUAAAGAAGGGGUGUGAGGCAGAGGAGGCCAGAGCUGUACCCACACUGAGCGGCGGUGCGGCCCGGCUGAAGGAGCGGGGAGCAGUGCGCAAGGACUGAUCUCACGGCACCGACUUUCUAAUGAGCUCUGAAGCGCUGACACACAGCCCUCCACGAGGGGUGGGUGGGUUUCAAACCAUUACCACCGAGGGAAGCAGUGUGUGUAUGUGUGUGUGUGUGUGAGGCUGGGGCUGGUGGAGUGAGGCUGCAUGACAAAUCUAAUGUGACAUGACACCCUUCUGUUUCAGUGUGCCUGUUAACCAGCGGCCGUCACACUUCCCCAAUCAGCUGACUGGGAACACACAAAAAAAAGAAAAUAACUUGUGUGUUCGCAGACUGCGUCUCAGAGGACGACGCGCCACGGCUGACAACAUAUCAUUAUCAAAAGUGCUCAAUUAUACGUUAUAUUGUAACAUUCCACAGGACGGAGGCCCCCCUCCUCCUCCUCACAGCGGAACUGCGUCCAGCAGAAGAGGAGGUGACCACACUCACUCAGGAGCCCACCGCGACACUGUGCAGGUGUUACAGAUGUUCUGUAGUCGGUCUACAGUUCAGUACAAGAGCGCAGCAGGUAUGGAAGAAUUUUACUUUCUUCGUUAAGUUUUUUGUCUCACUGCAGUGAGUGCAAACUGUAGACUUGUGUUUUAGGAAGCUAAAUGGAAUUUUCUCAUUUGCAAUAUGUAUAUGAGACCAGUUUGUGCCAUAACACCACAGAUGCCACACUCGGUCAUUUUAACAGAAUAAAAUGUAAUGAAAUCUUG